rnacentral:rRNA from 1 species
UACGUAGGGUGCGAGCGUUAAUCGGAAUUACUGGGCGUAAAGCGUGCGCAGGCGGUUCGUUGUGUCGGCGGUGAAAGCCCCGGGCUUAACCUGGGAAUGGCCGUUGAAACUGGCGAACUGGAGUGUGGCAGAGGGGGGUGGAAUUCCGCGUGUAGCAGUGAAAUGCGUAGAGAUGCGGAGGAACACCGAUGGCGAAGGCAGCUCCCUGGGCUAACACUGACGCUCAGGCACGAAAGCGUGGGGAGCAAACAGG